AAAUUGAAGAGUUUGAUCAUGGCUCAGAUUGAACGCUGGCGGCAGGCCUAACACAUGCAAGUCGAACGGUAACAGGAAGCAGCUUGCUGCUUCGCUGACGAGUGGCGGACGGGUGAGUAAUGUCUGGGAAACUGCCUGAUGGAGGGGGAUAACUACUGGAAACGGUAGCUAAUACCGCAUAACGUCGCAAGACCAAAGAGGGGGACCUUCGGGCCUCUUGCCAUCGGAUGUGCCCAGAUGGGAUUAGCUUGUUGGUGGGGUAACGGCUCACCAAGGCGACGAUCCCUAGCUGGUCUGAGAGGAUGACCAGCCACACUGGAACUGAGACACGGUCCAGACUCCUACGGGAGGCAGCAGUGGGGAAUAUUGCAC
rnacentral:rRNA from 2 species